rnacentral:rRNA from 1 species
UACGAAGGGGGCGAGCGUUGUUCGGAUUUACUGGGCGUAAAGGGCGCGCAGGCGGCGGAUCAAGUCAGAUGUGAAAGCCCCGGGCUUAACCUGGGAACUGCAUUUGGGACUGGUUUGCUAGAGAUCGGGAGAGGAGAGUGGAAUUCCCAGUGUAGAGGUGAAAUUCGUAGAUAUUGGGAAGAACACCGGUGGCGAAGGCGGCUCUCUGGACCGAUACUGACGCUGAGGCGCGAAAGCGUGGGAGCA